AUGAACCGAUGAUCUGGAGGGGAGAGAGACGGAAAAGAGCUGCCGGGCGGAGAAGCCGGCAUGUGGGGUGUCCCCUCACCACCACCGAGCCAGGCCUCGGAGCCCGGCCGGCAGCGAGCGCGCUGAGGCCGAAGAUGGGAGGAAGGUGUUCGAGCCCUCUGAGCGGGAGACAGCGCAGGUAUCUGAGAGGUCGCGCAGACGCCACGAUGAAGAACUUCGUGCCCUAUUACCGGAGGCAGCUGGCGACUGCCCUUCUGAGACGGGUCUCGGGGGAGCUGGACCCCCAAGGGAAACCGGCCCCGCAGCUCCUGCCGAGAGAGCUCCGGGGGCCGCCCGACGCCGCUCUGCACGAGGGAUUGCUCUCCCAGUAUGACGGCGAUUCCCGCAGCUGGCAGGAGAAUUACUUCAUUCUGCUUGGAGAUUUUACCCUGCGGUGGUUCGAAAGCGAAGAGGCCCUGAGGAAAGGCUGCGAGCCCAGAGGCUCGACCGCUCUCUCCGGCUACCUGCUGCUGUCUUCACCGAGCGAAUACGCCGAAUCGCUCGGCGAUCUGUGCCAAGGACUCGCAGGUGGCAGCCCCUUCGCCGACCCGCCAGGAGAGUUUCUGUUUUUCCUCUACCAUCCCUUCCGGAGGCAUUUCUGCUUCUGCGCAGACUCGGCGGAAUCGCGACGGAUCUGGAAGGCCGCUCUUCGGGAUGGCAUUCGUUACCGCAGCACGGAACUACAGAGGAGGGAUUCUCUGGAAGCGGAGGCGUUCCUCGAGGCUGUGCGGUUUUACAGGCAAGAGAGAGGCCGCUACGGGGCAGGGGAUCUUCUCCUGGGGCCGGAACCUGAGAUCCUCGGAAACGUGCUGAUGGAGGAUUUGCUGCCGGUGCUGCGCUCUCAGGUGCUCCCGAGCAUCAGAGGGUCAGAAAGGAGGCGGCGGCAGCUGUGGCUCCAGUUUCUCCAGGAGGUUUACGCCCUGAUCCUCAGCGAAAUCGCCAGCGAAUUCGAAGGUUUUCAGAAGGAGAAAGAAAAACUACAGACGGAGCUGGAGAAGAAAAUUCGCCCUGACCUGGAUCAGAUGCUGACUCUGAAGGAUCAGAUAGCCAGCAAACUCCAAGCUGCGGUGCAGAGCCCGGCGGAGUCGUGCUGCGGCCGGAGCGUGGAACCUCACCUGGAGUGCGUGAUGGAGGAACUCAUGCGUCCCGUCAGCUCGGGAGUCGAGGCGGUUCGCUCGCUCUUUGCCCAGAGGGUUGAUGAGAUGAUCGGACUCGUCCGGAGCUCUCCCGUCGCGGUCCUGCAGAAAGAGCUUCUGGCGCUGGGGAGAACGUCGUGGCAGCCCCAAGUCAUGCACCUGUGCUACGAGGAGGCCGACCUGUAUCGAGAAAGCCUGCGAGGGCUGGAGGAGCGGUUCGGCUUCCGCGGCGUGACGAGCCUGGUCCUCGGCGCGCAGAACCUCAUGCAGCAGCUGAUGGAGAAUGCCACCCACACCUUCCUGCAGCUCUCGCAGCAGCACCUCGGCCAGGCGGCCGGCCGGCGCCGGCUCACCCAAAUGCUGGAGAAAGUCAAAGAGCGGGUGCUGAAGAAGUUUGACUACGACAGCAGCUCCGUCCGGAAGCGGUUCGCUCAGGAGUGGCUGGUCCGGAUUUUUCUUCCUUUUCUACUGAAGCAUUUGGAGUCCGGGUGUAAGCUGCGUCCUGGCGCUGAGGAACCGUCUCUCCGCAGAAAAGAGCUUUUAAUUCAAGCCGCCACGGCGCAGGCUGCCAAACCGCAGCUCUCUCCUAGACGGCAUCCCGAAAAUCUCCUCCAAACGGACACAACUCAUGUUCUGUUCCGUGCCGCCGUGGGUGUGACUGUCCUUUAGCUGUUUCCCAGAACAGAACAUUCUCCUUUAUUUUAUUCCCUUUUUUUUUUUUUUUUUUUUUUUUUACAUCUUCCCAUUCGCUGUGCCGGAACGCUGGCUGGAGCGAUUCCCUCCGUAGCGAGUCCCAGGGGUGUUUUUGGAGGAGCUGCCGCAGUACGAGAGCUUCGUGUUCGCCGACUUCAGUGGCAUCAUUAACCUGGAAAAUAUUUACGAAGAAACAGUCCUGGCCGUGCUGCUGCGGGCUGUCGGCAGAG